GGUUACGGCCAUAUCACGAUGAAUGCACCUCAUCCCGUCCGAUUUGAGAAGUUAAGCAUCGUCGAGCCACAUCAGUACUGAGGUUGGAGACAACUUGGGAACCUCUGGUGCUGUAGUCU
rnacentral:rRNA from 1 species